CUUAGGCAUUUAAUGAAAAUUCUCUUACCCCGGACAUCCCUUACCCGACCCCCUCACAAAAUUUAGGGUUAGGACAUUUGUGGCUACAGUAGUACAUGGCUGACCGAAGCAAUUCAACGGCGAUUACGGCGGUGAAGUCAAUAUGGGUGAAGCAAGCCGAGGAAGCGAAGCUGAAGAGCGAAGCGGAGAAAGACGCAGCCGCGAAAGCUGCAUUCGAAGCUACAUUCAAAAACGUCGAAGCUUCAGCCGCGGCGGCGGCGGCGGCCGCCGCAUCCGAUAGCGACGAAGAUGAUGAGGAGUACGAGCAGAAGAGGAUCGCCGAGAAGCCGAUCGGUCCUGUUGACCCUACGAAAUGCACGGCCGCCGGCACCGGGAUCGCCGGCGGAACGGCGUGUGCUCCGUCGACGUUCACUGUUGUCACGAAGGACUCCGACGGUCGUAAGAUUCCGCAUGGUGGGGCCCAGGUUAAGGUUAGAGUUUCACCUGGUGUUGGAGUUGGAGGAUCGGAUUUGGAAGGGAUAGUAAAGGAUAUGAGUGAUGGGACGUACACAGUGAGUUAUAUUGUUCAGAAGAGAGGGAAUUAUAUGGUGAAUGUGGAAUGUAAUGGGAAGCCCAUCAUGGGUAGUCCUUUCCCUGUUUUCUUCAGCACAGGUAGUACUACUGGUGGAGUAUUGGGUGUAGCACCAUCAACCAAUUUUCCAAAUAUGGUCAACCAGAACAUGCCUAAUAUGCCAAACUAUUCUGGUUCUGUAUCUGGGGCAGUCCCAGGAUUGCUCGGGAUGAUACCAGGUAUUGUUCCUGGAGCUUUGGGAGGAGUAGUUUUACCUGGAAUUGGGGCAUCUCUUGGGGAAGUUUGUCGAGAAUACCUUUACGGACGGUGUGCAAAAACUGACUGCAAAUUCAAUCAUCCCCCUCACAAUCUUCUAAUGACUGCUCUAGCUGCGACUACCAGUAUGGGAACUCUUAGUCAAGUGCCCAUGGCACCUUCUGCGGCUGCAAUGGCUGCUGCUCAGGCAAUUGUUGCUGCUCAAGCUCUUCAAGCGCAUGCACAAGCUCAGUCUGCAAAAGAUUCCUCUGGUGACCAAGAUGGAAAGGCCGAUUCCCUUAAAAGAACUCUGCAAGUCAGCAACCUCAGCCCACUUCUGACAGUGGAUCAGUUGAAACAACUGUUUGGUUUCUAUGGUACAAUCGUUGAUUGUAGCAUUACUGAAUCCAAACAUUUUGCUUACAUUGAAUACUCAAAACCUGAAGAAACAACUGCUGCUUUGGCGUUGAACAAUAUAGAAGUUGGUGGUCGCCCCUUAAAUGUUGAAAUGGCAAAGCAACUUCCUCCAAAGCCAGCUGUUUUAAAUUCAUCAAUGGGUUCAUCUUCUUUGCCCUUGAUGAUGCAGCAAGCAGUAGCAAUGCAGCAGAUGCAGUUUCAACAGGCCCUAUUAAUGCAGCAAGCUAUGACUGCGCAGCAAGCAGCUAAUCGAGCUGCAACCAUGAAGAGUUCCACUGAUUUGGCUGCCGCAAGAGCUGCAGAAAUAAGCAAGAAGUUGAAAGCUGAUGGUCUGCUUUCUGAUGAUAAGGAAACUGAUGACAAGGCCAAGUCACCAUCUGCUGAUCGUGCUAGGUCAAGAUCCAGGUCACCAUCCAAAUCAAGAUCUAAGUCCAGAUCUCCAAUAAGUUAUAGGCGAAGACCAAGAUCCCGCUCUUUCUCUCCUGUGCCGCGGAGAUCAAGAGAUUAUAGAUCAAGGUCACCAGUAAGAUCCCGUCGUUAUUCAGGCAUUGAAGAUGAAAGGCGGUCAUAUAGGGAUGUUAGAUAUGCUAGUGACAGAGGAAGAAGGCGGGAUUCUGUUAGAUUCUAUGAUCGUCGUUCUCCUGUUUCAAGGAGAAACCGAAGUAGGAGCACAAGUCCUCGAACUAGAAAAUCUUACCGUGCUGAUUUAGGCUCACCAAAACGCCGCCGAGAAAGUCCAGUUCACAAGACAAGUAGAGCUUCUCGCCGUGAGUCAUUAUCUCCUGAACAUGGACGAAGAAGUAGGUCAUCCCCAAAAGAUGGUGAAAGAAAGUCAAAGUAUAGCAGGCGAUCGAGAUCAAAGUCUGCUGAAGGUAGGGACCAGUCUGAUGAUAAGCUUGAAGGAAGCAGGGGUGAAAAAGCCAAGCAGAAGGACCAGGGAAGGUCACCAUCACCACAGGUUGUUGAGGAUGCACAGAAGAAAAUGUCACCAGAAGUCCCAGAAGAAAGCAAGUCAAAGCAUGGAAGAACCUCCAGGUCCAGGUCUCCAGAAGAGAAGCAUCAUUCUAGCAGAAGCAGAGAAGAGAAAAGAAAGCAUCAUGCUAGAAGGCGCUCCAAGUCAAGGUCCAAAUCUCCUGAAGAGAAAGAUCAGGGAAGGUCAGCAUCACCACAGAUUGUUGAGGAUGCACAGAAGAAAAUGUCACCAGAAGUGCUGGAAGAAAGCAAGUCAAAGCAUGGAAGAACCUCCAGGUCCAGGUCUCCAGAAGAGAAGCAUCGUUCUGGCAGAAGCAGAGAAGAGAAAAGAAAGCACCAUGUUAGAAGGCGCUCCAAGUCAAGGUCCAAAUCUCCUGAAGAGAAAUAUCACUCAAGUAAUAAAUUAGAUAGAGGUAAAGGAGAUAAGCCAAAGCAUCGAAGUAGAAGGCAUUCAAAGUCAAGGUCCAGAUCUCCUGAAGAAAAACAUCGUUCAAGUGAUAAAUUGGAAAGGAGCAGAAAAGAGAAGUCAAAGAGUCGUAGUAAAAAGCGGUCCAGGUCAAGAUCUGUCGAUGAUAAGCAGCACAGCAGUAAACAGUCUACAAGGCGUUCCGAUGACCGACGAUCAAGACACAGGGGACGCUCUAGAUCAAAAUCUGCUGAAAGUAGGCAUGGAUCAGGUGAAGAUGAAACCAUAAAGGAUGAAGUGAGAGGUCAUAGGGGUCACCAGAAAAGUUCCAGGCGGCAUGACAGUAAUAAUGGAACAAGUGAAGCUAGCUUGAUUGAAGAAGAUCCUGCUAAGGGAAUGUGAACCAGCUACAGAUAGCUUCCAAUUCGAAGAGUUUCUGAAUCUAUGGGUUAUGGCUUGUGAUUGUUGAUCUUGUGAACAUUUUAUUUUAUCAUUGCAGAAAACAUGGAAGGUUUUGAGGAGGCAAGGUGCCUUGGAAGAACGUGACCGCAGGACACAGAUUGACUCCUUUUGAUGAGCAAGAUCUCUUAGAGUGAAUUAGUUGCAGUUUGUAUGACAAAUACGCAUAUUUUUGCUUCUUUUGCAGGUCUUUCAAUGGAACAUAUGCAGGAAGUGAAGUAGCAUUAGUUGAAAGAUUGAAUAUCAAGCUUGCUUCUGCACCAUCUUGGAUCAACUAUGCUGAGUUUCUUGUGAACUACUUUUUGAGCCUCAUGUUGUGGGACUGAUUCUUGUCGGCGCUUUAUCAUUCUUGUCGGCGCUUUAUCAAAUGAAUGGGCACAGUUAUAUCUGAUUGUAUUUGAAGGUAUGCAAUUGAAAAUUUUUGUUGUUUAAAUGGGACGGCAUUGCUGCUGUUGGAACAAAUACAUUACGAAUGCUGGCUGAAAAUUGCUUGGAUGAAGAAAUAUGUUAAAGUUUAAGGCAGGCUGCUAUUAAGGCUGUUGCAACCAGGUGUUGCUGAGAUCAGUAGAAUCGCGAUGCUCCCUGAAUCGAGCAUGAACAGAUAUUCUCAUAUCUGUUCUUUAAUUGGUGAAACUCAAUUGUUGUUCCGUAACAGGUGGUGCUGGAUGUAUGGACUGAGAGCUGUAUCCUGUUUCUCAAACUAGAUGUGGUUGAUGUCACACUUCUCAUUUCCUUCCCUUUCCUCGCUCCCCCUUUUCUCUUUCCUUUCACUUUUACUCUUCCCCAUUUUUCCAACUGGCUUCUCUUUUCUCUUCCUGGCUUUCCUCCUCUUUCCUUUUCUCUUUUGGCUGGUGGUUGGAGGUUCUGUAAGGAUUAUAUAACUAGCAAAAAGUCACAAGCAGCAAGGCGAGGAAACAUCAAUUUUGGCUGGUGAUUCCACAAUGUAUUACUGUUAGGAUGCUUUAAUUCUUUUAACAAGGAUUAUAGCUCAGAGUAGAGACACUUUCUGUAGGUUGAAGUUUUCAAUACAGAAGUUUCACCCACAUAUUACUUAUAACCUUCUUUCCUGUCAAUUACCUGUUCACCAGUGGGCCGUUGUGGUCGUCUUUGUCCUGGUUAAAAAUGGUGUUGGCUGAUAACCAUUCAGUCCCUGAUAGUUAGAUUAAUUUUUAGGGUAAAUUUGAUUCUGACCCUGGAAUUUGUGAUGUUCCCAUCCUUUGACCAUAAAGAUGCUUGUGGUGUGUUAGGUAUUAUGGACUAAUUAAAUUAUCUCUAGGGUAACUAUACUUUGGCAUGGACCAAUGCGAGAAAUUAAUCGAUGUUGUAUCUCCUCGGCUCUGUUUGAAGAACACCAGAAAUUUUGUCGGGUUAGAUUUCAUCUUGUUCGUGAAUUGGUGUUACAGUAUUAACUUUUUUAGUUGAAUAUUUAUUUGUUAUACUUGUCGUGCUAGCACUGAGAAUACACAAUCCAUAAAAAAUUUGUGAUUGUGUAUCCGUUGUAUAUAUGAAUGGCAUCAAGACUUUUUACUAGAACCAACUGCAUUCUGGAUUUGA